AGCGAAAUGCGAUACGCAAUGCGAAUUGCAGAACCGUGAGUCAUCAGAUUUUUGAACGCAAGUGGCGAUGGUUUCGGCCAUCAUGUUUGUUUCAGUGUGUUCGGUUAAUUACAUCAUAGAAUUUAAUGUGACUGAAGCGAUUCUUUCACUGAAUAUGAGGUAGUGUCAGCUAGAUGACAUUAGGCGAACUAGUCACUAAUUUGGUGAUAAUCGUUUAA
rnacentral:misc_RNA from 1 species